rnacentral:tRNA from 1 species
GGGCGCUUAGCUCAGCGGCGAGAGCACUGCCUUUACACGGCAGGGGUCGCUGGUUCGAAUCCAGCAGCGCUCA